UACGGGGGGGGCGAGCGUUGUUCGGAAUUACUGGGCGUAAAGGGUUCGUAGGUGGCCUGCUAAGUCAGACGUGAAAUCCCUCAGCUUAACUGGGGAACUGCGUCUGAAACUGGCGGGCUUGAGUGCAGGAGAGGAACGCGGAAUUCCAGGUGUAGCGGUGAAAUGCGUAGAUAUCUGGAGGAACACCGGUGGCGAAGGCGGCGUUCUGGACUGCUACUGACACUGAGGAACGAAAGCCAGGGGAGCAAACGGG
rnacentral:rRNA from 1 species